UACGUAGGGUGCAAGCGUUGUCCGGAAUUAUUGGGCGUAAAGAGCUCGUAGGCGGUCUGUCGCGUCGGCUGUGAAAACUCGGGGCUCAACCCCGAGCCUGCAGUCGAUACGGGCAGACUAGAGUGCGGUAGGGGAGACUGGAAUUCCUGGUGUAGCGGUGAAAUGCGCAGAUAUCAGGAGGAACACCGGUGGCGAAGGCGGGUCUCUGGGCCGAUACUGACGCUGAGGAGCGAAAGCGUGGGGAGCGAACAGG
rnacentral:rRNA from 1 species